CAGAUACGUUGACGGGAGCAAUGCCUCAACACCAUGCAGUUGCUGUAAAAAUUUCAUCGUGAUUAAUCGUUGUGGAUAGGCUCCGAUACAAGGGUCAAUCUAUCAGUCGACGAGUGUCGAGCACCGUCAAUUAAAUGCGCGAAAUUACUUUGCACCAAAUAUCUUUGCACGGAUCUAAGGUUUGUAAGCGGCAGUUAUAAUAGCUGGUUGCACGGUCGAAGGAUCUGAUCUGAUCCUGAUCUUUCUCCAUACACUAUGGACUUCUCUUCUUUCGUUGCAACUGACACAAACUGAAGACCGAAUUGUUGCAUAGACGGAAUGUCGAAAAUUCAAAAGAUUAUUAAAGUUUGGCAAUACAAAGAAGAGAUCUUGAUAUGUAAUAAACUAUUUUUUUCUGCUUGAAUUUUAGACUGAAAAAGUAAAAUCAUUCUAUAAAAAAUUGUACCUAUUUUUUUGUUUUUCUUUUAUUAUUUACCAAAAAAA